AAACUUGUGCUAAUACCGGAUAAGCCCUUACGGGGAAAGAUUUAUCGCCGAAAGAUCGGCCCGCGUCUGAUUAGCUAGUUGGUGAGGUAAUGGCUCACCAAGGCGACGAUCAGUAGCUGGUCUGAGAGGAUGAUCAGCCACAUUGGGACUGAGACACGGCCCAAACUCCUACGGGAGGCAGCAGUGGGGAAUAUUGGACAAUGGGGGCAACCCUGAUCCAGCCAUGCCGCGUGAGUGAUGAAGGCCCUAGGGUUGUAAAGCUCUUUUGUGCGGGAAGAUAAUGACGGUACCGCAAGAAUAAGCCCCGGCUAACUUCGUGCCAGCAGCCGCGGUAAUACGAAGGGGGCUAGCGUUGCUCGGAAUCACUGGGCGUAAAGGGUGCGUAGGCGGGUCUUUAAGU
rnacentral:rRNA from 1 species